UAGAUGCUUGACGGUACCGUAUGAAUAAGGACCGGCUAACUCCGUGCCAGCAGCCGCGGUAAUACGGAGGGUCCAAGCGUUAUCCGGAAUCAUUGGGUUUAAAGGGUCCGUAGGCGGAAUAAUAAGUCAGUGGUGAAAGUCUGCAGCUCAACUGUAGAAUUGCCAUUGAUACUGUUGUUCUUGAAUUAUUAUGAAGUGGUUGGAAUGAGUAGUGUAGCGGUGAAAUGCAUAGAUAUUACUCAGAACACCUAUUGCGAAGGCAGAUCACUAAUAAUAUAUUGACGCUGAGGGACGAAAGCGUAGGUAGCGAACAGGAUUAGAUACCCUGGUAGUCUACGCCGUAAACGAUGGUUACUAGCUGUCCGGCCUAAUUGAGGGCUGGGUGGUUAAGCGAAAGUGAUAAGUAACCCACCUGGGGAGUACGUUCGCAAGAAUGAAACUCAAAGGAAUUGACGGGGGCCCGCACAAGCGGUGGAGCAUGUGGUUUAAUUCGAUGAUACGCGAGGAACCUUACCAGGGCUUAAAUGCAGUCUGACAGGCGUGGAAACAUGCCCUUCUUCGGACAGAUUGCAAGGUGCUGCAUGGUUGUCGUCAGCUCGUGCCGUGAGGUGUCAGGUUAAGUCCUAUAACGAGCGCAACCCCUGUUGUUAGUUGCCACCGAGUCAUGUCGGGAACUCUAACGAGACUGCCGGUGCAAACCGCGAGGAAGGUGGGGAUGACGUCAAAUCAUCACGGCCCUUACGUCCUGGGCCACACACGUGCUACAAUGGUAGGGACAGAGGGCAGCUACCCCGCGAGGGGAUGCGAAUCUUCAAACCCUAUCACAGUUCGGAUCGCAGUCUGCAACUCGACUGCGUGAAGCUGGAAUCGCUAGUAAUCGCAUAUCAGCCAUGAUGCGGUGAAUACGUUCCCGGGCCUUGUACACACCGCCCGUCAAGCCAUGGAAGCUGGGGGUACCUGAAGUCCGUCACCGUAAGGAGCGGCCUAGGUAAUCUAUC
rnacentral:rRNA from 1 species